rnacentral:rRNA from 1 species
CACGCCGUAAACGGUGGAUGCUGGAUGUGGGGCCCAUUUCCACGGGUCCCGUGUCGGAGCCAACGCGUUAAGCAUCCCGCCUGGGGAGUACGGCCGCAAGGCUAAAACUCAAAGAAAUUGACGGGGGCCCGCACAAGCGGCGGAGCAUGCGGUUUAAUUCGAUGCAACGCGAAGAACCUUACCUGGGUUUGACAUGUGGACGGCGGAUCCGGAGACGGGUCCUCCCUUCGGGGCGUCCUCACAGGUGG